rnacentral:rRNA from 1 species
AUUGAACGCUGGCGGCAGGCCUAACACAUGCAAGUCGAGCGGAGCGGCGGACGGGUGAGUAAUGCCUAGGAAUCUGCCUGGUAGUGGGGGAUAACGUCCGGAAACGGGCGCUAAUACCGCAUACUAUCAGAUGAGCCUAGGUCGGAUUAGCUAGUGGGGGGGGUAAAGGCCUACCAGGGCGACGAUCCGUAACUGGUCUGAGAGGAUGAUCAGUCACACUGGAAUUGGGACACGGUCCAGAAUCCUACGGGAGGCAGAAGUGGGGAAUAUUGGACAUGGGGCGAAGGCCUGAUCCAGCCAGGCGGCGGGUGUGAAGAAGGUCUUCGGAUGGUAAAGCACUUUAAGUUGGGAGGCGUUACCAACAGAAUAAGCACCGGCUAACUACGUGCCAGCAGCCGCGGUAAUAC